GGGGCGCACGGGUGCGGUAACGCGUGGGAAUCUGCCCUGAGGUUCGGAAUAACAGCGAGAAAGGGCUGCUAAUACCGGAUGAUAUCGCGAGAUCAAAGAGUUUAUCGCCUGAGGAUGAGCGCGCGUAGGAUUAGCUAGUUGGGGUGGUAAAGGCGCACCAAGGCGGCGAUCCUUAGCUGGUCGGAGAGGAUGAUCAGCCCCCCGGGGACUGAGACACGGCCCAGACUCCUACGGGAGGCAGCAGUGGGGAAUUUU
rnacentral:rRNA from 1 species